rnacentral:lncRNA from 1 species
ACAGCCCGGUGAACGGAACUGUGAUGCAUGAAAUGAGGGGGGAAAGACGGGUGAGGUCAUGAUGGCCUUGUUAACUGUUGGCAAAAAACAGGGAACAGAAAGGGGAAUGUCAGCUUCAUAAGGAUCUAUUGGCAUUGAAAUAGGGAACUAUUACAUGUAAUCCAGGACAAUUGGCUGGCUUACUUGGGUGUAUCAGACAUUCCCGUAUCCUGUACAAAUAAGGAUUUGUGAGGCUCCAAGAUGGAUUGUGAAGCAGCCAUUAAUGCUUCUACAUGAUUAUGGAACUUCGGGAGCCAGCUUGGCAUCCCACUGGAAGUCAGAUGAUGUUAUGAUUACAAGGAAGUAUUGAUAUACUUCCCUAAUUGUUUCUUAGGACUUUGGAUUCUAUUUAUGAUGUCAUUACAAAGCUAUGCAUUAUCUGCAUAAUCGCCAAGGAAAAGACUCUCUCAUGAAGGGAAAUGCAUCCCACUGAGAUAAUGCCGCAAGCUACUGCUAUACAUCCAACGGCAUAUGUAUGGUGUUGAAAUAAUAAGACAGCAUGGAAUAAUGAUGAAU